AACGAACGCUGGCGGCGUGCCUAACACAUGCAAGUCGAGCGCGAAAAGGGCAACCUGAGUAGAGCGGCGCACGGGUGCGUAACACGUGGGUAAUCUGCCUUAGAGUCGAGGAUAACCUUCCGAAAGGUUGGCUAAUACUCGGUAAGCUUACGGUGUCUUCGGACGCUGUGGGAAAAGUAGGCCUCUGUUUACAAGCUUACGCUCUGAGAUGAGCCCGCGGCCCAGCAGCUAGUUGGCGGUGUAACGGACCACCAAGGCAACGACGGGUAGCUGGUCUGAGAGGACGAUCAGCCACACUGGAACUGAGACACGGUCCAGACUCCUACGGGAGGCAGCAGUGGGGAAUUUUCCACAAUGGGCGAAAGCCUGAUGGAGCAACGCCGCGUGUGUGAUGAAGGUUUUCGGAUCGUAAAGCACUUUCGACCGGGACGAAAACCUCUGGCUAACAUCCAGGGGCCUGACGGUACCGGGAGAAGAAGCACCGGCUAACUCUGUGCCAGCCGCCGCCGUAA
rnacentral:rRNA from 1 species